rnacentral:rRNA from 1 species
AUUCCGGUUGAUCCUGCCGGAGGUCAUUGCUAGUGGAGUCCGAUUUAGCCAUGCUAGUUGCACGAGUUUAGACUCGUAGCAGAUAGCUCAGUAACACGUGGCCAAACUACCCUCUGGAUCGGGAUAACCUCGGGAAACUGAGGCUAAUCCUGAAUAGCGUUCUCACCCUGGAGUGGGGAGAACGUGAAAUGCUCCGGCGCCAGAGGAUGUGGCUGCGGCCGAUUAGGUAGACGGUGGGGUAACGGCCCACCGUGCCAGUAAUCGGUACGGGUUGUGAGAGCAAGAGCCCGGAGACGGUAUCUGAGACAAGAUACCGGGCCCUACGGGGCGCAGCAGGCGCGAAACCUUUACACUGCACGCCAGUGCGAUAAGGGGACUCCAUCUGCGAGGGCAUAUCGUCCUCGCUUUUCUGUACCGUAAGGUGGUACAGGAAUAAGGGCUGGGCAAGACCGGUGCCAGCCGCCGCGGUAAUACCGGCAGCCCGAGUGAUGACCGCUAUUAUUGGGCCUAAAGCGUCCGUAGCUGGCCAGGCAAGUCCAUCGGGAAAUCCGCGCGCCCAACGCGCGGGCGUCCGGUGGAACCUGCUUGGCUUGGGACCGGAAGACCUGAGGGGUACGUCCGGGGUAGGAGUGAAAUCCCGUAAUCCUGGACGGACCACCGGUGGCGAAAGCGCCUCAGGAAGACGGAUCCGACGGUGAGGGACGAAAGCUCGGGUCACGAACCGGAUUAGAUACCCGGGUAGUCCGAGCUGUAAACGAUGUCUGCUAGGUGUGGCACAGGCUACGAGCCUGUGCUGUGCCGUAGGGAAGCCGUGAAGCAGACCGCCUGGGAAGUACGUCCGCAAGGAUGAAACUUAAAGGAAUUGGCGGGGGAGCACUACAACCGGAGGAGCCUGCGGUUUAAUUGGACUCAACGCCGGACAUCUCACCAGCAUCGACAGCAGGAGUGACGAUCAGGUUGAUGACCUUAUCAGACCUGCUGAGAGGAGGUGC